GCCUGGGUGGCUCAGUUGGUUAAGCGUCCGACUUCGGCUCAGGUCGUGAUCUCGCAGUUCGUGAGUUCGAGCCCCGCCUCGGGCU
rnacentral:tRNA from 1 species